rnacentral:rRNA from 2 species
UCUACUCCUUUCCGGAGGCAGCAGUAGGGAAUCUUCCGCAAUGGACGAAAGUCUGACGGAGCAACGCCGCGUGAGUGAUGAAGGUUUUCGGAUCGUAAAGCUCUGUUGUUAGGGAAGAACAAGUACCGUUCGAAUAGGGCGGUACCUUGACGGUACCUAACCAGAAAGCCACGGCUAACUACGUGCCAGCAGCCGCGGUAAUACGUAGGUGGCAAGCGUUGUCCGGAAUUAUUGGGCGUAAAGGGCUCGCAGGCGGUUUCUUAAGUCUGAUGUGAAAGCCCCCGGCUCAACCGGGGAGGGUCAUUGGAAACUGGGGAACUUGAGUGCAGAAGAGGAGAGUGGAAUUCCACGUGUAGCGGUGAAAUGCGUAGAGAUGUGGAGGAACCACCAGUGGCGAAGGCGACUCUCUGGUCUGUAACUGACGCUGAGGAGCGAAAGCGUGGGGAGCGAACAGGAUUAGAUACCCUGGUAGUCCACGCCGUAAACGAUGAGUGCUAAGUGUUAGGGGGUUUCCGCCCCUUAGUGCUGCAGCUAACGCAUUAAGCACUCCGCCUGGGGAGUACGGUCGCAAGACUGAAACUCAAAGGAAUUGACGGGGGCCCGCACAAGCGGUGGAGCAUGUGGUUUAAUUCGAAGCAACGCGAAGAACCUUACCAGGUCUUGACAUCCUCUGACAAUCCUAGAGAUAGGACUCCCCCUGGC